UACGUAGGGUGCGAGCGUUGUUCGGAAUUACUGGGCGUAAAGAGCUCGUAGGUGGUUUGUCGCGUUGUCCGUGAAAACUCACAACUCAAUUGUGGGCGUGCGGGCGAUACGGGCAGACUGGAGUACUGCAGGGGAGACUGGAAUUCCUGGUGUAGCGGUGGAAUGCGCAGAUAUCAGGAGGAACACCGGUGGCGAAGGCGGGUCUCUGGGCAGUAACUGACGCUGAGGAGCGAAAGCGUGGGGAGCGAUCCGG
rnacentral:rRNA from 1 species